rnacentral:rRNA from 1 species
AUUGAACGCUGGCGGCAGGCUUAACACAUGCAAGUCGAGCGAGCGGCGGACGGGUGCAUAAUUUCUGGUAAACUGCCUGAUGGAAGGGGAAAACUACUGGAAACGGUAGCUACUACCGCAUACCAUAAUAUGUGACCAGCUGGGCUUUGCUCGUAGUUGGGGUAAUAUCUCACCUAGGCGACAAUCCCUAGCUUGUCUGAGAGGAUGACCAGCCCAACUGGAACUGAGCCACGGUCCAGACGCCUACGCGAGGCAGCAGGGGAGACUAUGGCACAAUGGGCGAAAGCCUGAUGCAGCCAUGCCGCGUGUGUGAAGAAGGCCUUCGGGUUGUAAAGCACGUUAAGCGAGGAGGCGUUACUCGCAGAAGAAGCACCGGCUAACUCCGUGCCAGCAGCCGCGGUAAUAC